UACGUAGGGUGCGAGCGUUGUCCGGAAUUAUUGGGCGUAAAGGGCUCGUAGGCGGUCAGUCGCGUCUGCUGUGAAAACUCGGGGCUUAACUCCGGGCCUGCAGUGGGUACGGGCUGACUAGAGCGCGGUAGGGGAGACUGGAAUUCCUGGUGUAGCGGUGAAAUGCGCAGAUAUCAGGAGGAACACCGGUGGCGAAGGCGGGUCUCUGGGCCGUAACUGACGCUGAGGAGCGAAAGCGUGGGGAGCGAACAGG
rnacentral:rRNA from 1 species